rnacentral:rRNA from 1 species
GACGGAGGAUGCAAGCGUUAUCCGGAAUGAUUGGGCGUAAAGCGUCCGCAGGUGGCAGUUCAAGUCUGCUGUCAAAGACCGGGGCUUAACUUCGGAAAGGCAGUGGAAACUGAACAGCUAGAGUAUCGGAGAGGUUGGUGGAAUUCUCGGUGUAGAGGUGAAAUUCGUAGAUAUCGAGAGGAACACCGGUGGCGAAGGCGGCCAACUGGACGAAUACUGACGCUGAGACUCGAAAGCGUGGGGAGCAAACAGG